UCUCUCUCUCUCUCUCUCUCUGCUGUGUUGUGUUUUCACUGUUUCUCUCUCUUUCUCUUUCUCUUUCUCUUUCUCUCCCUGGCUGGCUAUAUAAUAAGUGUCAGGUUCCAUUCUUCACUUGUUUGUGGUCUCAGCUAAGCUAAGCUUUCCUUUCUUUGCGCCAAUUUCACUAUUUUCAUAUUAAAUGCGCUCUCAAGAACCACAACCUCACUGCUGUUUCUAUUCCUAUGGCAUUUUCCAUUUCUCUCUCACCCAUCUCCUCUUCAUAUGGUUUCUCCUACAAAGGUUUGGAAAGAUUAAUGGCGGCAUUGCUUGAAGGGAUUGGAAUCAUGGGUUAAGCCCUUGAGUAUGAAAUAGGGAAUGAAGCCAUUGGUCCUGUUAGUUUAAUUAAUUAAUUAAUUAAGAUGUAUUAUAUAUUGAGUUCUCAAUUUAUAUAUAUAUAUUAUUAUUUGAUGUAGCAGGGAAUUAUCAUUUGUUCUACAUCAAUUUGCUAUAAAUAGUGAACUCUCUUAACUUUUUCAGCAUAUUUCCAUCAUUACAAAGCUAGCACACUAAGCUAGGUGUAUGCAAAUGCUAGUUACUA